UCAUAGCUACUGAGUUUUAGGGUUUAAGCAAACAGAGCAGUGAACGCUUCACCGCCAAAACCCUAAACCAUUUGUGCAAACCCAAAUUCACCAUGAAUUACAGGUUCCACAACUUGUUAGGCGCCCCCUACCGCGGCGGAAACGCCGCCAUCGUCAACAACAAUCUCCUCGUCUCUCCGGUCGGCAACCGCGUCUCCGUCACCGAUCUCCUCAAGUCGGAGACCAUAACCCUCCCCUGCCAGGCCUCCACCAAUCUCCGCCGCAUCGCCGCCUCACCCGACGGCGUCUUCCUCCUCACGGUCGACGAGAACAACCGCUGUCUCUUCAUCAACCUCCCCCGCCGCGCCGUCCUGCACCGUCUCUCCUUCAAGCAUCCCGUCUCCGACGUCAAAUUCAGCCCCGACGGUCGCUUAAUCGCCGUCGCCGCGGGUAAGCUUCUACAGAUAUGGCGAUCCCCGGGAUUCAGGAAGGAAUUCUUCCCGUUUGAGUUGAUUAGGACAUUUUCUGAUUGUAAUGAUCGGAUUACGUCGCUGGAUUGGAGCCCUAGCUCGGAUUACUUAGUCGUCGGGUCUAAGGAUUUGACUGGGAGGCUUUUUUAUUUGAGCAAAGGGAAGAAGAAGAAAAAUAGCUAUAGUAAGCCGUUCUUAUUUUUGGGGCAUAGAGACACCAUUGUGGGAACUUUCUUUGGGGUUGAUAAGAAGACGAAUGAUGUUACGAAGGUUUAUACUUUAUCGCGCGACGGUGCGAUUUUUACGUGGGGAUAUAGUAGCAAUGAUCCCGAACCUACUAAAAUGGAGGAAGAUUGUUCAGAGCCUGAUUCUCCGGGGAUGCCGGAGCAGAGGCAGGAUGCAGAAGAAAGGAAGGAUCUUGGUGCUAUUGGAGACGGUGAUGAAGAUGAUGAGCACUUAUUACACAAAAAGAAGUGGAGCUUGUUGAAAAAGGACUUUUUUAUGCAAGCACAGGCAAAGUUAACAGCAUGUGAUUAUCACAGAGGGCUUGAUUUGGUGGUGGUGGGAUUCUCUAAUGGGGUGUUUGCGUUGUAUCAGAUGCCUGAUUUUGUUUGCCUUCACUUGCUAUCAAUUUCACGGGAGAAAAUCACUACAGCUGUGUUUAAUGAUCUGGGGAAUUGGUUGACAUUUGGUUGUGCAAAGCUAGGGCAGUUGCUUGUGUGGGAGUGGAAAUCGGAGAGUUAUAUAUUGAAGCAGCAGGGUCAUUAUUUUGAUGUGAAUUGCAUUGCUUAUUCGCCAGAUUCACAGCUAUUGGCUACAGGAGCAGAUGAUAACAAGAUCAAGGUUUGGACGGCCUCUUCAGGCUUCUGCUUUGUGACAUUCUCUGAGCAUACAAAUGCUGUCACUGCACUGCAUUUCAUGCCUAAUAACCAUUGUCUUCUUAGUGCCUCUCUGGAUGGGACUGUUCGUGCUUGGGAUUUGUUCCGUUAUCGAAACUUUAAAACCUUUGUUACCCCUACGCCUAAGCAAUUUGUUUCCCUGGCAGCAGAUCAGAGUGGUGAAGUGAUUUGUGCUGGAACUCUUGAUUCAUUUGAGAUAUUUGUUUGGUCAAUGAAGACGGGCCGGUUAUUGGAUGUUCUCAGCGGUCACGAGGGUCCUGUUCAUGGAUUAAUGUUUUCUCCCAAUACUUCCAUCCUGGCUUCCUCUUCCUGGGACAAAACUGUGCGCCUGUGGGAUGUAUUUUCAGGAAAAGGCGGUGUUGAAAAAUUUGAACAUACACAUGAUGUUCUUACACUUACUUAUCGACCGGAUGGCAAACAGCUAGCUUGUAGCACACUAGAUGGGCAAAUUCAUUUUUGGGAUACACUAGAAGGCUUAGAAAUGUUCACAAUUGAAGGCCGCAGAGACAUUGCUGGUGGGCGACUCAUGACUGAUCGUAGGUCAGCUGCGAACUCCUCUGCUGGAAAGUGCUUCACAACUUUGAAUUACUCUGCUGAUGGUAGCUACAUAUUAGCUGGGGGAAGUAGCAAAUACAUCUGUAUGUACGAUGUUGCUGAUCAGGUACUGUUACGAAGAUUCCAGAUAACUCAUAAUUUAUCAUUGGAUGGGGUCCUUGAUUUCUUAAACUCAAAGAAUAUGACUGAAGCUGGACCAUUAGAUUUGAUAGACGAUGAUGACAGUGACACCGAGGAAGGAGUGGAUAAGCAAUCACAAAAAAAAUUGGCAUAUGAUCUUCCUGGAUCAAUGCCCAACCAUGGUAGACCUAUUAUUCGUACGAAGUGUUUGAGAAUUGCUCCGACUGGAAGAAGCUGGGCUGCUGCAACUACAGAAGGGGUACUGAUAUAUUCCAUGGACGAGUCCUUUAUAUUUGAUCCCACUGAUCUGGACAUCGACGUUACACCAGAGGCAGUUGAUGCAGCUCUAAAAGAGGAUGAACCAAAAAGAGCUCUGAUACUCAGUCUUCGCCUGAAUGAAGAUACCUUAAUAAAGAAGUGUAUAGUUGCUGUUAGUCCUGUAGAUAUACCAGCUGUUGCUUCAUCAGUCCCCUUCAGAUAUUUGCUGAGAUUAGUGCAGGCGCUUGGGGAUCUUCUAGAGCAGUCUCCGCAUUUAGAGUUCAUCCUCCGAUGGUGCCAGGAACUCUGCAAAGCCCACGGAAGUUCUAUUCAGCAGAAUAAUAGAAACCUGCUUCCUGCCCUGAAAUCCUUGCAAAAGGCAGUUACCACAUUACAUCAAGAUUUGGCAGAUACAUGCUCAUCUAAUGAGUACAUGCUCCGAUAUUUGUGUUCUACAAGCAACAGCAGAUAGUCCCAUAUAGUGGUCUCACAUGCACACUUCGGAUGUAGUUUGGUGAAGAAUCCAUGUUUCAACCCAGUGAAACUAAAAGUAGAGAACAUGGAUUCUUGUCUUAAUAUAUCGGCGAGCUUUAUCUGAGAUUGUUUUGAUUGCCGGAGUAGGAUUAGCUUGUCGUUGACUAAGAUGGCAACUAAAAAAAGGAAUUCCAAGUUUGGUAGUAUUUGGAAAAUUGGUGGAGGCAUAGCUGCUGUUCUUCAAGCUUCUGAAUGCUGAAGCAGAAAGUAGCAGCAUUUUUGACUGGAUGAAAGAGAUGAAUUACUCAGAUAUUAAUACAGAGACUAAUGUAUAUUUGUUUCAAUGAAAUCAAUAUGUUGUUGUCAACUUAUGAAUUGAUGUAUUUUUUUGAACGCUUUCUUUUUUUGGCAUUUUUUUUACCAAGUGACAGUUUCUUAUUUGGAUUCAUCUACGUCCCUUAUGUACUUGUAAUCGGAGUCCAAUGAAAAUUUUGACACAGCAUUGAUUUAUUUGCAAAA